rnacentral:misc_RNA from 1 species
AAUUGGACCUCUGCCUUUGCGGAUCUGGCAAAAAGAAUUUAAAAAAUCAGAAGUGACCUAAUUUCAAUUAGCCAAUGUUAAUUAAAUAUGGAAAUGGGUCAAGUCAGCAAAUGCGAAAAUGAGACGAAAAUAAAAUGGCAAUGAAUGAGAAACAUACAGAAAAUCAUACACUUCAGCACAACUAUGUAAAAAUAUAUAACUUACAGGCA